rnacentral:rRNA from 1 species
AUACGGAGGGUGCAAGCGUUAUUCGGAAUCACUGGGCGUAAAGGACGCGUAGGCGGGUUGGCAAGUCAGAUGUGAAAUCCUACAGCUUAACUGUAGAACUGCAUUUGAAACUGCUAACCUAGAGUAUGGGAGGGGGAGAUGGAAUUAGUGGUGUAGGGGUAAAAUCCGUAGAUAUCACUAGGAAUACCGAAAGCGAAGGCGAUCUCCUGGAACAUAACUGACGCUAAGGCGUGAAAGCGUGGGGAGCAAACAGGAUAGAAACCCUAGUAGUCC